UACGAAGGGGGGCUAGCGUUGCUCGGAAUUACUGGGCGUAAAGGGCGCGUAGGCGGCGCAGUUAGUCAGGCGUGAAAUUCCUGGGCUCAACCUGGGGACUGCGCUUGAUACAGCUGUGCUAGAGGAUGGAAGAGGCUCGCGGAAUUCCCAGUGUAGAGGUGAAAUUCGUAGAUAUUGGGAAGAACACCGGUGGCGAAGGCGGCGAGCUGGUCCAUUACUGACGCUGAGGCGCGACAGCGUGGGGGAGCAAACAGG
rnacentral:rRNA from 1 species